rnacentral:rRNA from 1 species
GAUGAACGCUGGCGGCGUGCCUAUACAUGCCAGUCGAACGAGGUCUUCGGACCUAGUGGCGAACGGGUGAGUAACACGUUGGUACCUACCCCGUAGUGGGGAAUAACUGCCCGAAAGGGUGGCUAAUACCGCAUAAUACCGCAAGGUUAAAGCAGUAAUGCGCUUCGGGAGGGGCCUGCGUCCCAUUAGCUAGUUGGUAGGGUAAUGGCCUACCAAGGCGACGAUGGGUAGCUGGAUCGAGAGGUUGACCAGCCACACUGGGACUGAGAUACGGCCCAGACACCUACGGGAGGCAGCAGUAAGGAAUUUUCCACAAUGGACGAAAGUCUGAUGGAGCAACGCCGCGUGCAGGAUGACGGCCUUCGGGUUGUAAACUGCUUUUAUACGGGAAGAUUAUGACGGUACCGUAUGAAUAAGGACCGGCUAACUACGUGCCAGCCGCCGCCGUAA